rnacentral:lncRNA from 1 species
UGAACUUCCUACCCAUUUAGUGCUCUGUGUUUGCUUUAUGUCUUUCUAAAUUCCAAGCUCCGAAACAUGAGAUGUGAAACUGAGACUCCCCUUGAUAAUUAGGAAUACAGGAAAUUCAACCUGUCUUGCUUCGUAAAUAAGGAACUUUAAUGACUUACAGCAUAAAACUAGUUUCAUUGUAAAUGUAGAAUUAGCUUAUUUCCAAAUGCCUGCUUCUGUGGUCUGUACACCCCAUACUUCAUCUUAUUCUGCAAGGAGAUAGACCUCCAUCACAGAUUCUAAAACAAUAUGCUUUACAGCUUGUGUAUUGUUAAUAAUUUCUAGCUAAGCCUGUGCUCAUCAAUACUUCAUGGACUGGCCUGAUAAUUGAUCGUUGUCUAAAACUUAUUUCAGAAAUGAGGAAGUUUAGAUCUAGAGAAGUGUAUUGCCAAGUCGAUAACAUGUGUGAACUAUAGCUUUGUUUCAUUCACUUGCAUUUUAUUUUGCUGAUAAGCCUUGAUCCUCUUUGCCUAUGACAUGCAAUUCCUGCAUGGUGAAGUACUGAGAUUGCAUCACUGAAUGAUGUGGGGAGGAUAUAGUUUUUGUGGAAAAUUUGAUAGGAUCCUAGUUAUGUUUAUGAUCAUAAUUAAAGAAGUAAGUUUUUUAGCAGUUCUUUUGGGUGUCUAAAAAACAUUCUCCAGAAAUUCCAAGCUAAAGUUGUUUUCCCACUUCUGCCUGUUUCUGUUGGAUCUGCUGCCAUUCAGAAGCAAGUGGGGAUGGGCAUGGCUGAAUGAGUUAAAAGGGUAAGUCAGGCUGUAUUGCAUUUAAUUUAUAAUUCAUCAGUCACGUGAGGCUCUUAGGGGAUAGCUAAGAUAAAUGUAGUUGAGCCUGAACAAAGUAUAAAAAUGAACAUUUGGCCACUGCUGUCAUAGCUGGUGAGUGUGGCUAGAUGAUGGUGGGACCCCAGGGACAGAAGAGCACUUUAUACCUGUUGAGCAGAGAAUUAGGAAAAAUGUAGUGCAGAGACAUCCGAUUACUUCCAAUCCCAGUGUUCAUAGGGAAGGAAUGCAAAUGUACAGCCUUGGAUUUUUCAUAUGAGCUGUUUGAAAUCACUGGCAGCAAAAACAUGUUCUGAAUGUAGUUGGUUAUGUAGGACUAGAGUAUUUGUAUUUAUCAAUUACCCAGUUCCCCUCAGCUAAUGGCUUAAAAGAUGAAACUCAGUGUCCCCCCUUUCUUCUAGCUACUGUUUUACUUUCAGCUGAUUUGUGGGAAGAUUUGGGGUUUUCUGAGGUUUCACUGUUAGCAAGCUGAGGCAAGUAUCGUGCCUUCUGUAGCAAUGACCUGUUAUCACUCACAUUGCUGUCCUUGGAAUUCAUUUCCCAGUGUGUACUGGGAGAAGAGUAGGUGGGAGUUAGAAGGUCUGGGAACCUCUUGGAAACCAUUUCUCAGACUAACUUUGGAACACUUGUCACCAGGUUGUUUUGUGACUGUUGGGGGAAGCAUAGUUUAGAAAAGUGGAUUUAGAGUAAGCCCUGGCAUUAUGCUAUUGGCUUUCCUCUUAAGAUGAAACUGGAGUUUUGAGUGAGACUUCAUUCCCUAUUUUGCCACUUUCCUCUUGGUUCUUGCCUGCACAUUCUGAAGAAUAAAAUCUACAGACAAUAAUGGGAGGGAAGAGUAAACAGAGUAAGAUUUAUUUAAGCAAGAUAGAAGUCCCACCUUGUGUAAGGAGGCCUGAUAGCAGAAAACCUCAUUUUGGUGUGCCACCUUAGGAGUUUAUAUGUAGUUUGGGGAGAGCAUGGAGCAAAAUGAAUGUAAAAUAUGCAAAAAGAAUCAAGGCUAUAGCCUUAUCAUCUGGGCUAACCCCACCUUCUGUUUCUCUGCUUUAAAGAACAAAAGCACAUUUUCCUUCGCAAAAGGAUUUCCAUUAGAAAAAGUAUGGUCUACAGCCAUACUUACCUGAACAUGUUCAACCUUGUUCAGUCUCAGAAGCUAAGUGGGUUUGGGCCUGGUUAGUUCCUCCAUGGGAGAAAUAAAGAUUGAGGAGGCUGCUAUCUUAGGCCCCUGUAGAAGUUUGGGGCUGUAGUAUUAAUCCAGCUCAUCUGAUUUGGGCCAGCACCUUGUAAGCAUGUUGUGGUUUGAAGAUCUGGUGAAAUCUUACUUUUCAACCAGCCAGAACUUUGCAGGGUUCAUAUGCCACAGGGCAUUCAGUAAAUAAAUAAAUAAACCACAGCUUGAAUCUGGCAGAACUAGCUCCAGAAGCACUUUUUAUCUUAUACCAGUUUUAUCUUGACUCUUAUUAUUAAUGUCACUACCACUAGGAUGUCCUGCAC